rnacentral:rRNA from 1 species
GGUUAAGCGACUAAGCGUACACGGUGGAUGCCCUGGCAGUCAGAGGCGAUGAAGGACGUGCUAAUCUGCGAUAAGCGUCGGUAAGGUGAUAUGAACCGUUAUAACCGGCGAUUUCCGAAUGGGGAAACCCAGUGUGAUUCGUCACACUAUCAUUAACUGAAUCCAUAGGUUAAUGAGGCGAACCGGGGGAACUGAAACAUCUAAGUACCCCGAGGAAAAGAAAUCAACCGAGAUUCCCCCAGUAGCGGCGAGCGAACGGGGAGCAGCCCAGAGCCUGAAUCAGUGUGUGUGUUAGUGGAAGCGUCUGGAAAGGCGCGCGAUACAGGGUGACAGCCCCGUACACAAAAAUGCACAUGCUGUGAGCUCGAUGAGUAGGGCGGGACACGUGGUAUCCUGUCUGAAUAUGGGGGGACCAUCCUCCAAGGCUAAAUACUCCUGACUGACCGAUAGUGAACCAGUACCGUGAGGGAAAGGCGAAAAGAACCCCGGCGAGGGGAGUGAAAAAGAACCUGAAACCGUGUACGUACAAGCAGUGGGAGCACGCUUAGGCGUGUGACUGCGUACCUUUUGUAUAAUGGGUCAGCGACUUAUAUUCUGUAGCAAGGUUAACCGAAUAGGGGAGCCGAAGGGAAACCGAGUCUUAACUGGGCGUUAAGUUGCAGGGUAUAGACCCGAAACCCGGUGAUCUAGCCAUGGGCAGGUUGAAGGUUGGGUAACACUAACUGGAGGACCGAACCGACUAAUGUUGAAAAAUUAGCGGAUGACUUGUGGCUGGGGGUGAAAGGCCAAUCAAACCGGGAGAUAGCUGGUUCUCCCCGAAAGCUAUUUAGGUAGCGCCUCGUGAAUUCAUCUCCGGGGGUAGAGCACUGUUUCGGCAAGGGGGUCAUCCCGACUUACCAACCCGAUGCAAACUGCGAAUACCGGAGAAUGUUAUCACGGGAGACACACGGCGGGUGCUAACGUCCGUCGUGAAGAGGGAAACAACCCAGACCGCCAGCUAAGGUCCCAAAGUCAUGGUUAAGUGGGAAACGAUGUGGGAAGGCCCAGACAGCCAGGAUGUUGGCUUAGAAGCAGCCAUCAUUUAAAGAAAGCGUAAUAGCUCACUGGUCGAGUCGGCCUGCGCGGAAGAUGUAACGGGGCUAAACCAUGCACCGAAGCUGCGGCAGCGACGCUGAUGCGUUGUUGGGUAGGGGAGCGUUCUGUAAGCCUGCGAAGGUGUGCUGUGAGGUAUGCUGGAGGUAUCAGAAGUGCGAAUGCUGACAUAAGUAACGAUAAAGCGGGUGAAAAGCCCGCUCGCCGGAAGACCAAGGGUUCCUGUCCAACGUUAAUCGGGGCAGGGUGAGUCGACCCCUAAGGCGAGGCCGAAAGGCGUAGUCGAUGGGAAACAGGUUAAUAUUCCUGUACUUGGUGUUACUGCGAAGGGGGGACGGAGAAGGCUAUGUUGGCCGGGCGACGGUUGUCCCGGUUUAAGCGUGUAGGCUGGUUUUCCAGGCAAAUCCGGAAAAUCAAGGCUGAGGCGUGAUGACGAGGCACUACGGUGCUGAAGCAACAAAUGCCCUGCUUCCAGGAAAAGCCUCUAAGCAUCAGGUAACAUCAAAUCGUACCCCAAACCGACACAGGUGGUCAGGUAGAGAAUACCAAGGCGCUUGAGAGAACUCGGGUGAAGGAACUAGGCAAAAUGGUGCCGUAACUUCGGGAGAAGGCACGCUGAUAUGUAGGUGAAGUCCCUCGCGGAUGGAGCUGAAAUCAGUCGAAGAUACCAGCUGGCUGCAACUGUUUAUUAAAAACACAGCACUGUGCAAACACGAAAGUGGACGUAUACGGUGUGACGCCUGCCCGGUGCCGGAAGGUUAAUUGAUGGGGUCAGCGCAAGCGAAGCUCUUGAUCGAAGCCCCGGUAAACGGCGGCCGUAACUAUAACGGUCCUAAGGUAGCGAAAUUCCUUGUCGGGUAAGUUCCGACCUGCACGAAUGGCGUAAUGAUGGCCAGGCUGUCUCCACCCGAGACUCAGUGAAAUUGAACUCGCUGUGAAGAUGCAGUGUACCCGCGGCAAGACGGAAAGACCCCGUGAACCUUUACUAUAGCUUGACACUGAACAUUGAGCCUUGAUGUGUAGGAUAGGUGGGAGGCUUUGAAGUGUGGACGCCAGUCUGCAUGGAGCCGACCUUGAAAUACCACCCUUUAAUGUUUGAUGUUCUAACGUGGACCCGUAAUCCGGGUUGCGGACAGUGUCUGGUGGGUAGUUUGACUGGGGCGGUCUCCUCCUAAAGAGUAACGGAGGAGCACGAAGGUUGGCUAAUCCUGGUCGGACAUCAGGAGGUUAGUGCAAUGGCAUAAGCCAGCUUGACUGCGAGCGUGACGGCGCGAGCAGGUGCGAAAGCAGGUCAUAGUGAUCCGGUGGUUCUGAAUGGAAGGGCCAUCGCUCAACGGAUAAAAGGUACUCCGGGGAUAACAGGCUGAUACCGCCCAAGAGUUCAUAUCGACGGCGGUGUUUGGCACCUCGAUGUCGGCUCAUCACAUCCUGGGGCUGAAGUAGGUCCCAAGGGUAUGGCUGUUCGCCAUUUAAAGUGGUACGCGAGCUGGGUUUAGAACGUCGUGAGACAGUUCGGUCCCUAUCUGCCGUGGGCGCUGGAGAACUGAGGGGGGCUGCUCCUAGUACGAGAGGACCGGAGUGGACGCAUCACUGGUGUUCGGGUUGUCAUGCCAAUGGCACUGCCCGGUAGCUAAAUGCGGAAGAGAUAAGUGCUGAAAGCAUCUAAGCACGAAACUUGCCCCGAGAUGAGUUCUCCCUGACUCCUUGAGAGUCCUGAAGGAACGUUGAAGACGACGACGUUGAUAGGCCGGGUGUGUAAGCGCAGCGAUGCGUUGAGCUAACCGGUACUAAUGAACCGUGAGGCUUAACCUU